rnacentral:rRNA from 1 species
UACAGAGGGUGCGAGCGUUGUUCGGAAUUAUUGGGCGUAAAGCGCAUGUAGGCGGGUUGUUAAGUCGCGUGUGAAAGCCCCGGGCUCAACCUGGGAAUUGCGGUUGAAACUGGCGAACUAGAAUCUGGCAGAGGGGGGUGGAAUUCCACGUGUAGCAGUGAAAUGCGUAGAGAUGUGGAGGAACACCGAUGGCGAAGGCAGCCCCCUGGGCUGAGAGUUGACGCUCAGGCACGAAAGCGUGGGGAGCAAACAGGG